ACGAGAGCGGGCAAACGCGGCGCUUUUCUCGCAGUAUCGUGUUGACCCUUGAACAGAGAGGAUUCGCGUCGCGUGUCGUCGAAUUAAAAAUAAAAAAAAAAAUAUUUUUUUUUUUUCUAAUCCUCAUCUAUCUCACUCUCUCUCUUUCUCAUUUUCACUCUCUCGGUCUCCCUCUGUCUCUCUCUUUCUCUCGUAUAAAAAUAACAAAUUUUAGAAUCGUGCGUGCGCGUUAGUGCGAGUGCUGCGUGCAGUGCAACGUGUGCGGUGCGUUGCGUUGCGUUGCGUUGCGUUACGGUACGGUGCGGUGCGGUACGUGUGCGGUACGUGUGCGGUACGUGGUGAGCGCGCGCGCGCGCGCUUACUCGCGAACGUGAAACGUGAGAAGCUCCCGUUGCGUUUCUAAUUUCUCUUCGCUUUUGGUACACACAGACACACACACAUAGACAGACACAUAAACCCGUUCAUUUUCGUUUUUCGUUAUUCGUCGUUCGUCGUCCGACGACGAAACCAAAUUCGUGCGCGAACACAAGAGAAAAAUAAAAAAAACAAAUCCUUCAACGAAAAUUUUAGAGAGAUAGAGAGAGAUGAAUAAAUCAUUGAAAUCGAAAUAAGAUGUGUGAUAUGUGAGGUGUUAUUAAGUUAUACUAUAUAUAUUUUUACUUAUCUACUUUGUUCUACUAUCUAUCUAUUUAUCUACGUAAAUAUCUCAAACUCUUUCGAACGUUUUACAUUGUACAUCUCAUUCGUGAAGAAGGAAGAAGAAAAAAAGAUUUAAAAAAAAAAAAAAA